rnacentral:rRNA from 1 species
UACCAGACUCCUACGGGAGGCAGCAGUGGGGAAUAUUGGGCAAUGGGCGCAAGCCUGACCCAGCAACGCCGCGUGAAGGAAGAAGGCUUUCGGGUUGUAAACUUCUUUUGUCAGGGACGAAGCAAGUGACGGUACCUGACGAAUAAGCCACGGCUAACUACGUGCCAGCAGCCGCGGUAAUACGUAGGUGGCAAGCGUUAUCCGGAUUUAUUGGGUUUAAAGGGUGCGCAGGCGGAAGAUCAAGUCAGCGGUAAAAUUGAGAGGCUCAACCUCUUCGAGCCGUUGAAACUGGUUUUCUUGAGUGAGCGAGAAGUAUGCGGAAUGCGUGGUGUAGCGGUGAAAUGCAUAGAUAUCACGCAGAACUCCGAUUGCGAAGGCAGCAUACCGGCGCUCAACUGACGCUCAUGCACGAAAGUGUGGGUAUCGAACAGGAUUAGAUACCCGCGUA